CCCUGUGUCUUCCAGGUGCUGUACAGCGAUGGUCAGAAUGGUAGAGAGUUCAUGACCUACCUGACACUCUCACCUGUACAGAUGACUUUCCACGGCAUCGGGAGCUCCAUCGAAGCCAGCCACGACCAGGCUGCUCUAAGUGCCUUGAAACAGCUGUCGGAGCAGGGACUGGACACGGUGGACUGCCCUAUCAAGAGCAGCGAGGUGUGUGUCAGAGAGGACGGACACUAAACAGACUAACUCAGGCACCACCCACCACUCAGGUCGCCAUGGAUACAACAGGCUGUCGUCAAGGGGAUGACCCCUGACUCUUCCCCGUCACCUAUGACCCCUAUUCCCCCACGACCGCCGCUGCAUCCUGGCAACAACCUGGAACAACAUGCAAUGGAGUGUGUGGAUGUGUACCGAGAGAAGAAAAAAAUGAAAUAACCGACUAACUAGAAAAAGAUGGGGAAAAACCUAUGAGUCUCUAUGUGAAGACAACACUAUCCUAACACAUUACAUGUAUUGAUCAUUUACGAGGAAUUUAAAUUUUAAAAAAUAAAUACAAAUAUAUUUAAAAAAAACUAGAUUGAGUAUAAACAUCUAGAUUUUCCCUGUUGGAUAGAUGUGUAAUGAAAUGGGUCAAACCCCAAUAAAGUUGGAUAGAUGUGUAAUGAUAUGGGUCAAAACCCAAUAUGUAUAUCAUGCCAUGAAGACAGAGGCAACAUUAUAGGGGGGGGGGGGGGGGGAACAAAGUUGUGUAGCUUAUUUUCCCAGGGGUAAUUAUGUUUAUUUUCUAGUUUAUUCAUCUAACAAUGCUUGAGUACUGACUGUAUUAUAAAAUUAGUCAAUAGCAGUGCUGUGGAAGUUGUAGCUGUUGUCUUCUCAUACAGUAUAUUCACCCAGCUUAUCUUUCAUGCUGAUAUUAA